UUUUUGAAUAAAUGAGAUCUUUAGAUUUAGUAUGUGAGAAGUGUUAAUCUCCAAAUUUUUUUGCUGGAAAUUAUCGUUUCACUCGUUUUAUACAUAUUUCGCGCUUUUGUUGAAUAAAUUGUUUUGUUAUGGAGAUUUGAUAUGGCUCAAAGUGUUUUUGUAGUUUAUGUAUUUGAUUUGUAUGAGUUCCUCAAGUGUUUUGCAUAUUCAUCUAGAUAUUAUCGUUUUGAGUGAUCACCUAUUCUAAUUCUUGAUGAAUUCUGUUUUUUUUUAAAAAAUUGAUUUUUUAAAUUUUUUAAUGUUGGCUUCAACUUGUUUUAUAAUAGAUUUAUGUUAGUAUUCGUAAUUUUCACAACGUUUCAAGUUUCUUUAUAUAGAUUUCUUUAAAAACUCAAAUUGUAUUUAAAUCCAGCAUAACUAUUUAAUUUCUUUUUAAAAGUUUAUAAGACAAAUAAGAUUAUAGCAUAUGCCAUUUUUUUUACCAGAUCAACAAGUUUAUUCGACUCUUAUAUUGCAACUGUUUUUCGUUUCAAUUUUGUAAAAUUUGUACAUUUAAUUAUUUUUUAUUCAUGUAUCGCCCACCUUACUUUUUAUAAUUAGACAUAAUGUUAUUCUAAAUUUUUUUUUGAUAAUUGGGGGAGGGGGGAGCGCUUGUGGGAGGAAUUGAACCCACGACCUAGCAGUUUGCUGCUCAGCGCUUAUACCAUUUGAGCUACAGCUCGUUGGUAAUGUUAUUCUAAAUUUAUUAUCUAUAAAAAAUUGGUCCACCUUUAAGAUAAUUUUCAGCUUCGACCGGUUAUAUUUAAUAUUGGAUUGUGAAUUGAAAUUGUUUUUGCAUUUUGAUUCAAUUAUUCAGCAAUCAGUCAAAUAUUGAAAAGGCAAUUGCAUACAAAUUUGUUAUCAUUCCCGAGUCAGAAACCAGGUCGCACUAUAACUCAGAAUGAAUAAGAAAUUUGGAGCAGGGAAGCAGCCAACCGGCACUCCUUCACUAGCCUGGUCAUGCGUUGUCGUUGUCGCUUCACUUCUUGCCGGCGCCUCCGUCGUCCAUAAUAUCUAUAAACCUGACCUUAAAUUGCCUCCAGUGGAUAGCGUUGAUGCUGCCAAGAAGUUGCAUAACGAAUCUAGCAAGAAUUGAAUUCUUUUUUAGUGCUAUUAUACAACUUCAACAAAACGAUUUCUAUUUGCUUUUGGUUGUAAUUUUUGUUUAUUUGCCUUCUCAUCUCUAUUGAUGAUCUUUUUAUUUUCUACUGGAUAACAGACUUGUUCAAUAAGAGUAAAUAUUUGAGUUUCUGCCA